rnacentral:piRNA from 1 species
AAGCAAUUAGAUGAAGAAGUGAUUUCCC